rnacentral:lncRNA from 1 species
GAACUUAUUAGGAUAUCCUACGAAAGGCGAAGCAGCAUGUCCAGUUUGUGGGUUAUCCACAUGUGCAAAAUGGUUGACAUGUAGUUGAAAGUUUUCUUGAUGAUAUAUGAGACCAUGUGCAGGUAAUAUAAAUGUCGCAUCUUUUAUAUAAUUUAAAUGAAAUUACUAUUAAUAUUGUGUACUUUGAUGCAGCAAAAGUUUGAUGUCGAUGCUUGUCAUAGAAAAUACAUCAUGCAAAAAAUGGGAAAAAAUUGGCGAGAUCAUUGAUGUAAUUUCCUUAAAGCAAUCAAUAACAAAGGAAAAUCAAUUGGCAUGACACGAGCUGCUGCUCUCCUCAAGCUCAAUAAUGUUGAAUCAAUGGAAGAAUGGUAAGCAUUUGUCAAAGAACGCAAUUCUCGACCAUAUAAGGUAAGCUUUGAUUGAUUUUGUAUAUUGAUUGUGUUUUGCAACAUACUGCUUACUGCACCUGUUGUAUAUUCGCCACAACAUUUAUGUCUAUUACAACGUGCAUAAAUGAUGUUGUAGGAAAAGAAUGAAAGAUUCAAAAAGAUGAGAGCAAGUCAAACCAUGUUGUAUACAACAAGAAGAAAGGGUUUUACUUGCUUAGAAGUUGAAAUGGUAAAAAAUUGUUAAAUUAAAGUUAAAUUUGUUUUAAAAAUUAUAAAUGUUAUACAAACUACCACACAUGAAAUGUAAAAUGUAGCGUGCUUAAAGUGAAGAUCCUGAUUCAAUAACGAGAGAUGAUGUUUAUAUUCGAGGACAUACGCGAAAAAAUGGUGAACCUAUUAACGAAUCAGUUGGGGAAACAUUGGUAACAAUAUUUCUUUUAGUAAUUUUUUAUCAUUUAAAGCUUAUAUUAGGUAAUUUUAGCUCAUUAAUGCAUUUCCUCAUAUCAGAAUAAAAUAAAAGCAUAUUCAGAGACAGUUUUCUCUCCAAGUAAACACUCACUUGAAGGUGAUGGUGGUGCAAAAGUAUUUGGUCCAAAACGUCCAGGACGGGUAAGAGGUCUUGGUUUUGGUGCAACUCCUUCAAAGUUGAAUGCUUUGGUGCACAAUCAUAACUUGCAAACUGAAGUUCAAGAGUUAAGGGAUGAAAUUAAAGAAUUAAAAGCUCUGUUUCAAGUGAAGAGUAAAUGUGCUGAACAAGAAGAUAAUGUAAGUGGAAAUCUAGAAUCAAUGAAUGUUAUUUUAAAUUACAUAUACUUUCUAUAUUCAAAAUAAUAAAUUGUACAACUGGAUAUUAAUUUUAUAGUUUAGAGAUAGAAGCUUGAAUGGUUUAGAUAACCUUCAAAAUAAGAAGUUCAAUUUGUUAUCUUGGUUGGGAAAGCUGAUAUUGUUGCAAAAGGUGAAAUCACAUUAACAAAUCCAAAUGAUCUAGUGCAUCAUGUACCCCUUGGUAAUGAAUGUUGGAGAGUUUGGGUUAAUGAAGUGAUCGAUAAUGUUAGCUUAUAUCGUCCCACGCGUGAGAUUUUUCUUCUGGAAGAUGUAUUAGGAAGUACAAUUGCAUGGCCAAGUAGGUAUAUCGAAGUGGAUUCACUGUAAUCACAACGAAGGUAUGCUUAACUUCUUUUCUAUUUUAAUUCCAUUUACCUUUAUGUUCGGUCUCUAUUGAAGAUUGGGUUGUUUAAUUUAUUUUUUAUUUGGAUGCUUAUUAAUUAUAUCUUUAUUAUUUUCGUGGUGUACAGGGGAUCCAUAUUUUGUGGGGUAGCUAAAUUGUCGGUCAAAGAAGUGAACUUUGAUACGUUUAAUAAUUUUUUGUUAUAUGAUGGAACCUCAAUAUCCACAGGCUUAUUAGUUGAAUGGUGAUUGGCGCAUACAAUAGUAGUCGAAUUUUUCUGAGAAUUGUUUAGAUGAAUUUUACAUUGGCAUAUUGUAUUGAACCGUAGUCAAUAUUUCUUUUUAUCGAAAC